ACAGCAGCAGCCGCGGGAAUACGAAGGGUGCAAGCGUUACUCGGAAUUACUGGGCGUAAAGCGUGCGUAGGUGGUGGUUUAAGUCCGUUGUGAAAGCCCUGGGCUCAACCUGGGAAUUGCAGUGGAUACUGGGUCACUAGAGUGUGGUAGAGGAUAGUGGAAUUUCCGGUGUAGCAGUGAAAUGCGUAGAGAUCGGAAGGAACAUCUGUGGCGAAGGCGACUAUCUGGGCCAACACUGACACUGAGGCACGAAAGCGUGGGGAGCAAACAGGAUUAGAUACCCGAGUAGUCCCUGUCUCUUAUAC
rnacentral:rRNA from 1 species